rnacentral:lncRNA from 1 species
CCAUUAACUAACAAAAAGCACCACUCCUGCCAGGAAGAACUUAAAAUUCGAUCAAUUUCCCCACUGGUGGUUCAGUUUUCAUCAUCCCCUAGUCAGCAAACAUAACAAGCUUCAAAAGACUAGAACUCUAGUAAGCAAACAUAACAAGCUUGAAAAGAUCAGAGAAACAACAGCCACUACACAUUCUAAACCCAAUCAAAAGAAUUCCCCAGUUUCAUUCAAAAGCCCUAAAUCGAAUCAUCCACAGAAUCUUGAAAGCUAAUGUAAUCAAUUAAUCACCUUCCCA